rnacentral:tRNA from 1 species
GUCCAUGAGUGGUACGGUUAACACACUUGGCUGUUAACCAAAAGGCUGGCGGUUUGAGUCCACCCAGAGGCA